GAAAUGCGAUAAGUAAUGUGAAUUGCAGAAUUCAGUGAAUCAUCGAAUCUUUGAACGCAUCUUGCGCUCCUUGGUAUUCCUUGGAGCAUGCCUGUUUGAGUAUCAUGAAAUCUUCAAAGUAAAUCUUUUGUUAACUCAAUUGGUUUCUACUUUGGUAUUGGAGGUCUUUGCAGCUUCACACCUGCUCCUCUUUGUUCAUUAGCUGGAUCUCAGUGUUAUGCUUGGUUACACUCGGCGUGAUAAGUUAUCUAUCGCUGAGGACACUGUAAAAGGUGGCCAAGGUAAAUGCAGAUGAACCGCUUCUAAUAGUCCAUUGACUUGGACAAUACUUUUAUGAUCUGAUCUCAAAUCAGGUAGGACUACCCGCUGAACUUAAGC
rnacentral:misc_RNA from 1 species